CUACGGGACGCUGCAGUGGGGAAUAUUGGACAAUGGGCGAAAGCCUGAUCCAGCAAUGCCGCGUGAGUGAAGAAGGCCUUAGGGUUGUAAAACUCUUUCAGCAGGGAAGAUAAUGACGGUACCUGCAGAAGAAGCACCGGCUAACUCCGUGCCAGCAGCCGCGGUAAUACGGAGGGUGCUAGCGUUGUGCGGAAUUACUGGGCGUAAAGCGCGCGUAGGCGGUUAUGUAAGUUGGGAGUGAAAUCCCGGGGCUCAACCUCGGAACUGCUCUCAAAACUAUGUGACUAGAGAAUGGUAGGGGAAAGUGGAAUUCUUAGUGUAGAGGUGAGAUUCGUAGAUAUUGAGAGGAACACCAGUGGCGAAGGCGACUUUCUGGACCAUUUCUGACGCUAAGGCGCGAAAGCGUGGGGAGCGAACAGGAUUAGAUACCCGAGUAGUC
rnacentral:rRNA from 1 species